UUUGCAGCACCUGGGGCCCGUUUCAAUAAGGAGGUACAACCAACUCUGAGUUGAAUUUAAGUGCAUUUUUCUUAAUUUGCAAAUUAUCUGCCAAUGGGGUAAGAAAUUAAAAUUAUUCUUGUUUCAGUUUGCAUUAAGAUUAUUUUUCUUAUCUUAUGGUGGACAAUUUUACGUUUUACGUAUAAUGCACUUAAAAGGAAAAUCCCCCAGGAAGUGAGUAAAUAUCUUAGACCGUUUUUCAUUUAUAGAAAAUGCAUCUUAACUUAAGAAUUUUUUUAUAUUUGUACUUGAAAUAAGACAAAAAUAUUCAGUAAGAAAAGCAUUUUUGCAGCAUGAAUGAACGAAUAAGGUAUUUAAACAUAGCUUACACUUUAAAACGGGGGUGGAGACCGAAAGAAACUCUGGGUUUAGCGAAGAAAACCUGCUCCCGACCAGGUUAGGUUCACGGAGUACGUUACCACGGUAACUAACUCUGAGUACAAGUUACCGCUCUUCUAGAGAUGGGCUUGACUUACCCUGCUUUCCCGGUUUUGACAAACCUCCCAUUUUGAAACCGAAAACCCAGAGUUUCAGCCAUUUCAGGGUUAACAUACUCAGAGUUUGCAGAUGGGAGUUUUACUUACUCAAACAUGUUCUGAGGGCAGAAAGGAAAAUGACUGGUUCACAGAUUCAACCAAUGAAAUUGAAGCAGAGGCAUGAUCAGGAAAUUUGAACGUGUGGAGGAAAUGCUUCAGGCAGAUAUGUUACUGAAGCUUCAUGGGAGGCAUUUAUAACAAGACUGCUUCAUCAGUCGAUCGCACCAAAGCUGCUAAUGAGUUACCUGGAGGAGCUGGCAGAAACUGGACAAAUCAAAGGAGCUAACACUGAAGAGGCAUCUGAUGCUGCUGAGUCCAAAAUGGUGCAAAAAUGGAGAUUUCAAGGGAUACAACGAAACUGGAUCAGGGAGGUCAAGAAACAGGAGAAGAAGGAACGUCGCAGACGGGCUCGAGAGAGAGCGGGAGGAUCAAAAGAUCAUCUUCAAAAUUAAGACAAUUCUGAGAUUGAUGAGGAAACAGGAAUCAACAAAUAAGAGAAUAAUUAAAUUGAUAAGAGAGAUGAUUGAAUUGUGUGAUUUUUCAGCUGAAUUACAAAGACUGACAAAUGAUUUAGGGACAGUGAAACUCCAGACUCCUGUUAUAAAAGUAUAAGUGUUGAAAGCUGCGUAAAAGUGUUGAGAUCAGAGAUGAUAGCUUUGUGGAUCUAACUGCUAUUUAGUUGCUUUACUUUGUAACGGUUAAAAACAAGGCGAUGCAUUUUGUGACUCGAGUGCAAAACGGAACUUCUAGUUAACCGUGGCAUAAGAUGCUCUUGACACCUGCUAGAGGUGUUAUAUUGUGGUUUGGGCAGAUAUGCUUAUGUAUCGCUUACGUUUUAAAAGGUGUUACAAUUUUUCCUAUAGUUUAAAAUAGAAGUAGACACGCUUGCUGUCUAGAGGUGUUAUAAUUUUUCCUUUUGAACUUUUGACACUGACUUGUGCAGACUCUGUAGUGAAGUCUUUUGUGGUGAAGACUACUCGCUGUUAUUUUUGUUAUUUGCUUAUGAGUUAUUGUUUUUAAUAAAACGAAACCAGUGUAUUGGUGAUUCGUUAACUUUUUAAAACAAGUCUCUGAGUGAUUAAUUAAUAAUAACUAGUUAUCUGAAUCUGAACACAACCUCAUGGAGCUCCAAGUGGUCCGGACUUGACUGAGCCAGGAUGGUCACCGGGGGAAAGUACCUAAAACUUCUAACAGCAUCUAUCCAGACGAGAGGUAAUUAUGCAUUCUUUGAUUGUAAGUUACUUGUGGAUGAUGAAG